rnacentral:rRNA from 1 species
AGUGAACGCUGGCGGUAGGCCUAACACAUGCAAGUCGAACGGCAGCACAGUAAGAGCCUGCUCUUACGGGUGGCGAGUGGCGGACGGGUGAGGAAUACAUCGGAAUCUACUUUUUCGUGGGGGAUAACGUAGGGAAACUUACGCUAAUACCGCAUACGACCUACGGGUGAAAGCAGGGGAUCUUCGGACCUUGCGCGAUUGAAUGAGCCGAGGUCGGAUUAGCUAGUUGGCGGGGUAAAGGCCCACCAAGGCGACGAUCCGUAGCUGGUCUGAGAGGAUGAUCAGCCACACGGGAACUGAGACACGGUCCAGACUCCUACGGGAGGCAGCAGUGGGGAAUAUUGGACGAUGGGCGCAAGCCUGAUCCAGCCAUACCGCGUGGGUGAAGAAGGCCUUCGGGUGGUAAAGCCCUUUUGUUGGGAAAGAAAAGCAGCAGGUUAAUACCCCGCUGUUCUGACGGUACCCAAAGAAUAAGCACCGGCUAACUUCGUG